rnacentral:rRNA from 1 species
GACGAACGCUGGCGGCGUGCCUAAUACAUGCAAGUCGAGCGGACAGAAGGGAGCUUGCUCCCGGAAGUUAGCGGCGGACGGGUGAGUAACACGGGGGCAACCUACCCUGUAGAUCGGGAUAACAUCGAGAAAUCGGUGCUAAUACCGGAUAUCAUUUGAAGUGCAUGCUUCGAAUGUAAAAGAUGGCUCCGGCUAUCACUACGGGAUGGGCCCGCGGCGCAUUAGCUAGUUGGUAAGGUAAUGGCUUACCAGGGCAACGAUGCGUAGCCGACCUGAGAGGGUGAUCGGCCACACUGGGACUGAGACACGGCCCAGACUCCUACGGGAGGCAGCAGUAGGGAAUCUUCCGCAAUGGACGAAAGUCUGACGGAGCAACGCCGCGUGAGUGAUGAAGGUUUUCGGAUCGUAAAGCUCUGUUGUUAGGGAAGAACAAGUGCCGUUUGAAUAAGGCGGCACCUUGACGGUACCUAACCAGAAAGCCACGGCUAACUACGUGCCAGCAGCCGCCGUAAGAC